CAAAUUAGAGCUUGUAAAGUUAAGUGUUUUAUUUACAUUAAAAAGUAGAUCGUGCAAUUCGAUUUAAUUUGA
rnacentral:tRNA from 1 species